UACGAAGAGAUAAGGAUAAGUGAGGGUCCUAUCCCACCCAAAUCUUAUCAUAAUCUUUUCUUUUUAAAAGGAAAGAUUCCAAAGAGAUAAGAUGCCAGACAGGGGUUCUAUCUUGUUGGCCAGUCUUUUAAUCUUUUCACUUUGUGUAAUUAUUGUUGGCACGUGUAUUAACCUAUAUGGAUAAAUGAUAUCUUGGUGGGAGAUCAUUUCUCUAUAUAUUAGGGCACGUCCCUCGACCCUUAAUGUUUACCUAAUGAAAAGUUCUAUAAGGCUUAAGCUUAAAAUUUGUUAGGUAAAAAGAUUAAAACCAAUCAAAUCGAAGCGGAGAGGUAUAUGGGUAUUGGAUUCCAUAGCUAUAUGAUAGAACAUGGAAUCACAUCUCAACUCUCAACAUCUGGGACAGUUCAACAAAAUGAUGUAUUAAAGAUGAAAAAUAGAACCUUGCUACACAUAGUUUGAUCUGUGAUGAUCAGUUAUGCUUUCUUCCUAUCUAGCUUGUUCUAGGUUUAUGUAGUAGAGACUUGCAAGUUACCUCUUGAACCACAAGUUUCACAAAGAGUGUUAAUGAAACACCUGUUAAAUAUAGAGAGAUCGUAAAAGUAGUUUAUGGGACAUCAGGAUUUGGGAAUGCCUAACAAAUGUGCUUGUGACAAAUCCAAAGAAAUUGGAACCACGUUCAAAACAAUGAUCGUAGGUUACUCAAAAGAGACGAAAGGUGGUCUAUUCCAUGAUCCACGAGAUUUCUGUAAGAUUUUGUUAUCUAAAUUCUUUUCUUCUAAAAAGGUUUUGAAUUAAGUAGAUUACUUAAGUGAAUCUCUUUUAAUAUUUAUAGUACAGUUCUUUUUAGAUCAUUGUCGAGUUAUAAUCUAUUGUUCGAUAGACAGUUUCUUUGUUACUUGAGAACACUGAGUCUGUUUCAUAUACAAUUUAUUGUAUUUGAUUAUUAGAUUCGUCAUAUUUUUAUUGCUUGAGCAUCUCCCGAACUCGGGAAGUGUCUUUGUUUUCUACAUUUUGUAGCAAUGAUCCUUAUCUUUUGUCUCUUUGCCUUUUGUGCUUUCUUUUUCUCCAUAUUAUUGGGUUUUUUUUUUCUUAUAAGGAUAUUUUUUGUGAUAUCUUUUUUGUUUGUAGGGGAUGUAUGUCCUUUUUGGUUUCCUAUAGUACAGGGGGAUGGUUAUGUAAGUCUACAUAAUUUCUUUCUGAAAUUCUUUUUUUAGAUGAGUGUAGUUCUUCUAAUCUUUGGAAGCAAUAUUGAGAACAAAAGUUUUCCAUUUCUCUUUGUUGGAGAUUAUGGCUUUUAGCACUUUGCUUUGAACUUUUAUUUUGUUACAGAUUUCUAAUCCACAUUCUAUAUUAUUUUAUUUGUCAACUGACCAUAGGUUAGCUUUAACAAAAGAAAUUUCGUAAUUAUAGGUUUUAUUGAGAGAGUUAUAUACUCUUUCUACCAUAAAACUGAGGAAGUCCACCAAUAUAUUGCUCUUUCCAAUGCUGUUGAUUACAAUCAUGAACACUGUAUAUACGAUCAUAAACAUGUCUUCAUACCAUUUGAAAUUUCUCACUUUUGAACAUCUUAAUUUUUUCUAUAUUCUUCUGUUGUUAUUCCUACUUUCUUCAUUAUUAGUGGGAGUGAAAUGAUAUUCUAUAGCAUAUACUAGAUUUUCUAAAAAGCAUCUCCAACUUCUUCGAACUACUACUUCUUUGGAAUCAGUAGAGGCUCCAUUUUCUAUUUUAACUACUUUCUAUCUUUUGACUUUAAUUUUUAUUGGUCUUGAUAUUAUCUCAGCUCUUGUUUCUUUGCUAACGCAGUUGUCUCCCACCAAAGCUUAAUAUCGAACUUGUCAGACCAUUUAGGAUUAGUUUUACUACUUGAGGGUCGGUCAUGAUCAUAUUAUUGGACUCAUAGGCACUUGCACAGCCAUGAGCAUUUCAUUAAGAACUUUAAUGAUCAAUAAUUUGGAUAUCUCAUCUAUAUUCCAUACAUAGAUAGACUUGCCAAUGAAUUGAGUUUUAUUGACAUAUUUGUAUCUUUCUAGCUUCUAGUCCCAAAUCGGACAUAAAAGGUCUGUGGUACCUGUGAAAGUUAGGAUCUUCUUUUGUUGCACUUCUAUAUUUUAUUCGAUAUUAAUGUUAUCCUCUACUUUGAGUUUUUUGAAUUUUUUUUAGGAGAGAUUCGACUUAACUACGUUAAUUUAUUUAGAUUUUUUUUCAUUGAUAUUUAAAAAUUUUAGUCUUUUUUCGACUCAUUUUAAAAUUUUGUCCUUUGUACUCAACUUAUCCUUUUUGGAUAGAUUUGUUAAGCUAAAAGGUAUUCUAUUGAAAAAGUUAAUACUCUUUAUUUCUUUAUUAGUGGGAGGUUUUUGAUUAAUUAAAAGGGUUUUGCAAUAAUUUUCUCGAUAUAAGAACUUAUGAGUUGGCUUUGAUUUCACCUCAGUAAACCAUUUUCCAAGUUUCUUGAUUAAACUAUGUAAAGAAAGAUGAGAACAGAGACCUGCUACAUGCAUGGUCCGUCAAACUCGAGCCCAAUUGUGAGAUCAAGCAUAGCAUAAUAGUUUUUGUAAAAUAUCCCACAAUUGUCGGUCUCCAUUGGUGUACCAUUAGUGGAAUAACCUAAGAAUAUGAAGAUGGGUUUCUAGGAAACAUGCUUGAGGAGGGAUGAGGGCAGUGAUAGCCUUUCUAUAUAUGAACUGUUUACACCAGAAGGUCGUAACAAAGUUGU
rnacentral:lncRNA from 1 species